rnacentral:rRNA from 1 species
AACGAACGCUGGCGGCAGGCUUAACACAUGCAAGUCGAGCGCCCCGCAAGGGGAGCGGCAGACGGGUGAGUAACGCGUGGGAAUCUACCCAUCUCUACGGAAUAACGCAUGGAAACGUGUGCUAAUAUCGUAUACGUCCUUCGGGAGAAAGAUUUAUCGGAGAUGGAUGAGCCCGCGUUAGAUUAGCUAGUUGGUGGGGUAAAGGCCUACCAAGGCGACGAUCCAUAGCUGGUCUGAGAGGAUGAUCAGCCACACUGGGACUGAGAAACGGCCCAGACUCCUACGGGAGGCAGCAGUGGGGAAUAUUGGACAAUGGGCGCAAGCCUGAUCCAGCCAUGCCGCGUGAGUGAUGAAGGCCCUAGGGUUGUAAAGCUCUUUCACCGGUGAAGAUAAUGACGGUAACCGGAGAAGAAGCCCCGGCUAACUUCGUGCCAGCCGCCGCAGUAAUAC